UGUACCUUCGGUGUUCGUCUAUUAUUCUUUCAUUGAUUUUAAUCGAUAAAUCAGCUAGCAGAUCCUGAACUAACGCGUCAUUCGUUCUUCUCUAUUUCUUUCAUCCAUCGCAACGACUAUAGUUUCUUUCCAAGACGAUCUCAAGAUCAACGAAUCGAGGUAACCGGGUUACAUUUCCUGUGUCGAUUCGUACGGAGGUUGAAAUUCUUGGCCCGAUCGACGAUCGAAAGAGCGAACCAGCUACGUUGACGUUUCCGGGGAAAAAAAGAUGCUGGUAAACACCGGUGGAUCCCCAGUUGGCCAGUUUCGAUGACUAUCUCUAGCACGGGUGUCUAUUCGCGGAGAGAAAAACGGAUAGUUGGCAGCCGCACAGUCAGCGAAUUUAGAUUCCCCGCGAACGUUUGACCGUUACGCAACGUCCAAGAGAAAAUCGCAGCAAGACGACGGAAAAAGAUGCGGACAUUCGCGCACGAUUUCCGCCAAAUUGCGGCGCCAGUCGCACUUUGCUCGUGGAAAGUGUUCCUCUAACCGCUAAUUCCGAGAAGAACUUUGAAAACUAGUAAGCUCGUUUGAAAAUGUAAACAUCGAACGGAUCGUGGCCGAUCUUCCGUCCCAGAGGAUUCCCAUGCUUUUCUAUCGCUAACGAAGAAAACGUUAUGGGUACGAAAAGAAAAUCCGACUCACGUCGUAAACGUAAACCUUUCGUAGCCACCUGUUUCGUGUUCGUCUCGCGUGUCAUUCAUUUCCUCUGUUCUAUGUAGAUAUAAUUUUUUUACGAGUGCCCUUUGACGGUUAGCAGCCCUAGUCCUAAAAUCCUAAAAAGCUUCUCGUUUUUCCCUCUCUCUAAGAUUCUAAGGCUCUAUUCAUUUUCGAGUAAAAUUUCCACCCUAUUAAGCUAUGUCCAGCGAUUAACAGCUAACUGGAACGGAGAACGUUUUAUUUUACGGGCAAACUUGCUCCCAUUCGUAAAUAAACGAAUCCGAAACCUAUACACAGUUUACGAGUGUUUGUCAGCUCGAAACAUCGAUAGGCAGUUCUAUUUUUGGUAUUAAGAAUUUCAAUUCUGACGAUCGAUUGCCAACUCGAGUACAGCUCGAUUCUUCUUUUUCUCGUUUAUUUACGUUACGCGAUCUACCUCAAUUCGUCUUUCGUUUGGAACGUGACCUACGCGAGAAAUAAAUGAACAUCGGCCAAUUUUGGACGAGGCUGCUAAAGAAAAGCCUUUGUCGAUCAUUCAAAUGCAAGGAAAACGACGAGUUUUCGGUAAUCGACCGCGAAUCGUUUUAUGGCGAACGAUAGAUUAGAAGCUGUGCCCGUAAAGAGGGUUCCUAUUUCGUAGCUCGAUUCGAGAUAUUUCGAGGUGGGAUCUCAGUCAGAACAAUGGCAUCCAGGAAUAUUAAGCGUGACCGACAUUCGCUGGGUUGGAGUGGCGGACAUUCUUCUCAACGAAUCGGUCCUCGUGAAAAGCACCGUAAACAGGAAGUUCAGCACGCAAAAUGGACACGGAAAAUGUACGCGUUCACCUCGGGAUGGAAAAUAAGAUAAACCAACGGUGGCCUCUGAAACGUUACGCUCAGGUUUUCUCUUCGCCUUUGCUUUUCCUGCCAACUGAAAAAUCCUAUUUCCGAGAUACUUGCGGAACAACGUGGAUUUCCGCUUCGGCGUUAACAUGCUCCCGCAGUUAAAAUAUGUAUAGUAUGUGAUAGAAUGUGUAAAUAUUAAAUACGGUGGUACUUUCAUUAUUUUUUCACAGUGAAAAAUAAAUAUCGUUAUUUGAAUUUUAAGGUA